UCUUAUGAUCAUUCAUACAAAAGGAAAAAAAAAAAAAACACAUCUAAAAGAACAAAAAAUAUUGAAAAGAAUGGUUCUAGUAUCCUUCAUCUUUCCUGAAUUUUCUCACAUCUCUCUCAAAGAACGUUUCUCUCUCUCAAUUGUCAGACUGAAACUCUCUCUUCUUUGUGAAUUGGUUUCGCUGUCGCCGACUCGCCGUCACAGGUGCGGGUAACCGGUUUUCCUUCUUGCUUCUGGGUCAGUGGAUAAGGAUCUGAUAGCCGAGCUUGCCUUGCUCUGUGUCGCCAAGGUUAAACUUCUCUUGGGAAUGCUUGUCACAAAGUGUGGACUGGGGCUGUUAAAGAUGUGAAGAGGAAAGACAUCAGACUCCGGAUAGGCUUACACGAGGAAAGAAUAUGCUAGCAAGAAAUCCAGGGGAGAUUUGAGGAGGAAAGACGAGCUCGAACCAUACGCAUACUGGCCACUUGAUAGAAAAAUGAUGAGUCGCCGACCACAGCAGCGUGCUGCAGCGAGAAAGGGUAUGUCAAGUGUUGUAAAGAUGACCAAAAAGUAUGAAGGUAAGAGCGCUUCUGGUGUAUUGUCCAUAAAGAGCUUGAAGCUAAAGAAGAAAGGCAGCAAAAAGAAAAUGUGAAUAGGGUCAAUGUAUAUUGGUAUAUCAUUGAUGAGGUAGAUAACCAUUCGGCAGUUUUCUUUAUUUAUGAAAUCGAUUUUAGUGUUCUCUUUUGUUUUGUCCGCCGCCAAAUGUGUACAUCACAAAAAUUGAUUCUACAGUAGGUCAGAGCCAGUUUGAGUAGGCUUCUUGUGUUUGUUCUCCAGCAAAUGGAAAAAAUUUCGUAUGUAUAUUUACUCCUGCUCGAUUUUGUUUUGCAUUUACUGCAAUUCGAAGAAAAAGUACCUUUGCAUCA